ACUAGUGUAGUGUGUAAACUGGCGCAAAUGUUCAAGAAAUCGAAAAGAAAUUUUCGUCAAAGAGUCGCGACAAGUGAUUCUGACGCGGAAAAGAAUCACAUUGGAUUCUACCGGAGCCGAAAGAGCAAAAGAAACACAAAAUACCCAAAUCUUCCUUCGUGCUGACUGCUGAUUUUCGUCCACGAAGAAGAGCGUCCAAAGGUUCACCUGACCACCACAACUCUUUUCGGAGUGUCUGAAGUUCGUGUACGUGCUAGGAAGCCACUUACAAUGAAACUGGGCAUUACCGGUUCUCCAACUCCCAUUGUCAUCUGGGCUAAAGAAGGAAAACCCAUUCCAAGGGCUCGCACCUCAUUACUAUACUACACUAGAGCUCCCC